GACGAACGCUGGCGGCGUGCCUAAUACAUGCAAGUAGAACGCAGUUGCGAACGGGUGAGUAACGCGUAGGUAACUGCCUCAUAGCGGGGGAUAACUAUUGGAAACGAUAGCUAAUACCGCAUACUGUGAGAUGGACCUGCGUUGGAUUAGCUAGUUGGUGAGGUAAAGGCUCACCAAGGCGACGAUACAUAGCCGACCUGAGAGGGGGGUCGGGCACAAUGGGACUGGGGAACGGGCCAGACUCCUACGGGAGGGCUCAGUAGGGAAUCAUCGGAAAUGGACGGAAGUCUUGACGAGCAACGCCGCGUGAGUGAAGAAGGUUUUCGGAUCGGAAAGCUCUGUUGAUAGAGAAGCGGUAACUACCCAGAAAGGGACGGCUAACUACGUGCCAGCCGCCGCGGUAAUAC
rnacentral:rRNA from 1 species